ensembl:misc_RNA 7SK 7SK RNA
AGGUGUGAGGGCAAUCUGUGCCAGGUUGACUAGGCUGAUCUGGCUAGCUAGGCGGGUGUCCCAUUCCUCCUUCACUGCUCCAUGUGCAUCCCUCCCGAAGCUGCAUGCUCAGUCUAAGAGGACAGCCUUCCCUGAAUAGAGACGGACCGGUCUUCAGUCAAGGGUAUAUGAGUAGCCUUGCUCCCCUGCUAGAACCUCCAAACAAGCUCUCAAGGUCCAAGGGGCCUAUGACUUUACUAAUUUUUGCCAAAGCACUACGGUUAACCUACAGGUGAACUCAAGUUAUUG